rnacentral:rRNA from 1 species
UACGUAGGGUGCAAGCGUUAAUCGGAAUUACUGGGCGUAAAGCGUGCGCAGGCGGCUUUGCAAGACAGAUGUGAAAUCCCCGGGCUCAACCUGGGAACUGCAGUUGUGACUGCAAGGCUGGAGUACGGCAGAGGGGGAUGGAAUUCCGCGUGUAGCAGUGAAAUGCGUAGAUAUGCGGAGGAACACCGAUGGCGAAGGCAAUCCCCUGGGCCUGUACUGACGCUCAUGCACGAAAGCGUGGGGAGCAAACAGG